AAUGAACGCUAGCGACAGGCUUAACACAUGCAAGUCGAACGGGAGUAAAAGCUCCAUGUGGCGAACGGGUGAGUAACACGUAAGAACCUACCUCAUAAUUUAAGUAAAUCUUAAAUAAUUCAUAAAGGUAUAAUUCCGUUAUGAGAUGGGCUUGCGGAGGAUUAGGUAGUUGGUAGGGUAAGGGCCUACCAAGCCGAAGAUCCUUAGCUGAUCUGAGAGGAUGAUCAGCCACACUGGGACUGAGACACGGCCCAGACGCUUUCGAGCGGCAGCAGUGAGGAAUUUUGGACAAUGGGCGCAAGCCUGAUCCAGCUAGAUCGCGUGAGUGAUGAAGACUGUAUUGGUUGUAAAACUCUUUACUGAAAUCUGUAGAAGUACAGUGAUAUUUUUCUUUUUAAGAGAUAUCAAAAGAUUAUGACAAAGUUUCAGAAAAAAGUCCCGGCUAAUCUCGUGCCAGCAGCCGCAGUAACAC
rnacentral:rRNA from 1 species